CAGUCGCCGCGGUAAUACGUAGGUCCCGAGCGUUGUCCGGAUUUAUUGGGCGUAAAGCGAGCGCAGUCGGUUAGAUAAGUCUGAAGUUAAAGGCUGUGGCUUAACCAUAGUACGCUUUGGAAACUGUUUAACUUGAGUGCAAGAGGGGAGAGUGGAAUUCCAUGUGUAGCGGUGAAAUGCGUAGAUAUAUGGAGGAACACCGGUGGCGAAAGCGGCUCUCUGGCUUGUAACUGACGCUGAGGCUCGAAAGCGUGGGGAGCAAACAGGAUUAGAGACCCCUGUAGUCCCUGUCUCUUAUACA
rnacentral:rRNA from 1 species